UGUAACGAUGUCGAUUUGGAGUUUGUUGCCUAGAGUGAUGGGCUCCGAAGCUAACGCGAUAAAUCGACCGCCUGGGGAGUACGGCCGCAAGGUUAAAACUCAAAUGAAUUGACGGGGGCCCGCACAAGCGGUGGAGCAUGUGGUUUAAUUCGAUGCAACGCGAAGAACCUUACCUGGUCUUGACAUCCAUAGAAUUCUGCAGAGAUGUGGGAGUGCCUUCGGGAACUAUGAGACAGGUGCUGCAUGGCUGUCGUCAGCUCGUGUUGUGAAAUGUUGGGUUAAGUCCCGCAACGAGCGCAACCCUUAUUCUUUGUUGCCAGCGAUUUGGUCGGGAACUCAAAGGAGACUGCCGUUGAUAAAGCGGAGGAAGGUGGGGACGACGUCAAGUCAUCAUGGCCCUUACGACCAGGGCUACACACGUGCUACAAUGGCGUAUACAAAGGGAAGCGAAGGUGCGAGCUGGAGCGGAUCUCAUAAAGUACGUCUAAGUUCGGAUUGGAGUCUGCAACUCGACUCCAUGAAGUCGGAAUCGCUAGUAAUCGUAGAUCAGAAUGCUACGGUGAAUACGUUCCCGGGCCUUGUACACACCGCCCGUCACACCAUGGGAGUGGGUUGCACCAGAAGUAGAUAGCUUAACCGCGAGGGGGGCGUUUACCACGGUGUGAUUCAUGACUGGGGUGAAGUCGUAACAAGGUAACCA
rnacentral:rRNA from 1 species